GACGAACGCUGGCGGCGUGCUUAACACAUGCAAGUCGAACGGAAAGGCCCUGCUUUUGUGGGGUGCUCGAGUGGCGCACGUGUGAGUAACACGUGAGUCACCUGCCCUGGACUUUGGGAUAACUUCAGGAAAGUGGGGCUACUACCGGAGAGGAGCUCCUGCUGCAGGGUGGGGGUUGGACAGUUUAGGCGGUGGGGGGUGGACUCGCGGCUUAUCAGCUUGUUGGUGGGGUGGUGGCUUACCAAGGCUUUGACGGGUAGGCGGCCUGAGAGGGUGACCGGCCACAUUGGGCCUGAGAUACGGCCCAGACUCCUACGGGAGGCAGCAGUGGGGAAUAUUGCACAGUGGGCGGAAGCCUGAUGCAGCAACGCCGCGUGCGGGAUGACGGCCUUCGGGUUGUAAACCGCUUUCGCCUGAGACGAAGCGUGAGUGACGGUAAUGGGUAAAGAAGCACCGGCUAACUACGUG
rnacentral:rRNA from 1 species